AAAAAAAAAAGAAACAAUCAGGUUGAUAAAAUAAUAAAUAACGAUACCAUCUCCCUUAUUCCGGGAUAUAGGGAAAGCCUUCAAUGAGUAUUAUGGUAAUUUAUAUAGCCUUUCGAAAACUACUGCUCCCCAAAUAAUAAAAGAUUAUAUUAAAUCAGCCAAAUAGAAUAAAAUAACAGAAAUUCAAGCGAAUAAUUUAAAUAAAGAGAUCCCGAAGGAAGAGAUUAACAGAGCAAUAGACAGGCUAGAAAAUUAUAAAACUCCAGGUCCGGACGGUUUGGGGAAUAAAUUUUACAAAGAAAUGAAAACUCAAUUAGCAGGUUACCUAAAAAAGACUUUUAAUACGGCAGUUAAAAAAGGCAGAUUUCCAAAUGAAAUGCUAAAAGCAAACAUUCUUCCCAUACUGAAACCGGGGAAAGAUUUGGCCAAAACUAACUAAAAUCGAACAAUUCUUAAUUAUACAUUGUUUAAUGGCUUGUAAAAUAGUGAUGGCGAGAAACUGGAAGGGAGACAAUCCCUUUUCCAUUAAACAAAUAGUUUCACAACUGGUUUACCAACUUACAAUGGAGAAGGACCACUGCAAAAGUCUGAAUAACAACUCGAGCCUUUGGGACAGUUGGGAUAAUAAAUUGCGAAAAAUGUAAUAAUACCAAGUGUGAUAACGGGAUGGUUAGUUUUGAGAUCUCUCGUAGGGUGUUGGGAUUGUUUGUCUGUGUAUAUGAAUGUCUUGCAACUUUUUGUAAAAUGUAAUUUGUUAAAAAACUUAAGACAAAAAAAAAAAAAAAGGAAUAUUCCUGAUAUUGUUACGAACGAUCAAGUUGGAUUUGCAUUGAAUAGGCAGGCCACAGACAGAACUAGAAGGUUCAUCAAUAUUAUUAACUAGAUUAGGAUUAUGGGAUGCCUUCUCUGCUUCUAUCUUUAAUGGCGGCAUUUGAUAGAAUACACUGG